UUUUAUGGAGAGUUUGAUCCUGGCUCAGGAUGAACGCUGGCGGCGUGCCUAAUACAUGCAAGUCGAGCGAACGGA
rnacentral:rRNA from 2 species